GUUUUCGUAGUGUAGCGGUUAGCACUCCAGACUCUGAAUCUGGCAACCUGGGUUCAAAUCCCAGCGAGAACU